GCGCCCGUAGCUCAUUUGGAUAGAGCACUUGGCUUCGAACCAAGGGGUAGGGAGUUCGAAUCUCUCCGGGCGCACCA
rnacentral:tRNA from 1 species